GUGCUCACUUUGACACCACAUAUACUGAAAUUAGAACAAGACAGAAAUGAUAAGCAUGGCCCUGAUACAAGAAUAACACACAAAUUCAUGAUAACACAAAUUCUGUAUUUUU
ensembl:snRNA U6 U6 spliceosomal RNA